rnacentral:rRNA from 1 species
UACGUAGGGUGCGAGCGUUGUCCGGAAUUAUUGGGCGUAAAGAGCUCGUAGGCGGCUUGUCGCGUCGGAUGUGAAAGCCCGGGGCUUAACUUCGGGUCUGCAUUCGAUACGGGCAGGCUAGAGUUCGGUAGGGGAGAUCGGAAUUCCUGGUGUAGCGGUGAAAUGCGCAGAUAUCAGGAGGAACACCGGUGGCGAAGGCGGAUCUCUGGGCCGAUACUGACGCUGAGGAGCGAAAGCGUGGGGAGCGAACAGG